AGUGGGAUCAGGUAAGGGUGAAAGGGUGCGGUAAGAGCGCACCGCGCGGCUGGUAACAGUCCGUGGCACGGUAAACUCCACCCGGAGCAAGGCCAAAUAGGGGUUCAUAAGGUACGGCCCGUACUGAACCCGGGUAGGCUGCUUGAGCCAGUGAGCGAUUGCUGGCCUAGAUGAAUGACUGUCCACGACAGAACCCGGCUUAUCGGUCAGUUUCACUU
rnacentral:RNase_P_RNA from 2 species